CCAAAACACGCACAGUACCUUUAUUUUUUCUCUCCCACCGGCCGUUUCUCUCUCCCGUAUCUUUUCAAAUUCCGGCCACCCAUACUGUACACGCGCCGGCCAGUGACGUGCGGAAGGAGGAGGCGCGCUCGGCCGCCAAGUUUCACGGCCAGCCGCCGCCGGACGCGCGCCGAUCGGGCCGGAGAAGCCGCCGGCCGUCGGAUUUUCUCUCUCCUCUUUUCUUGUGUUUUCCGGCCAGCCCACUCCCAAUUGAGCCUCCUCUCCCCCUAUUUUGGGUCCUCUGAAUCCAAAAAUGGCCCCCAAUCUCAAAAAUUCGAAGCGGUUGGAAAGAUCCCUCAAGAUCAAAACCGGCCGAAACUUCCCGACCAAAUUCCGACCACCUCCGGCGGAAUUGGGGUCGAUGGAGACCGGAUUGGUGAUCCUCGUCCCACAAGCUUCGAUUCGGAGCACCGGUGAGUCAUAGAAUUGAUCCCGUGGUGGAUCAUGGGUUAACUGCGUGCUCCAGGUCCAGGUUGGAGACGUUGAUUGUCCAGGGCGAGCCCAACGUCUCAGUUCGUUGCCGAAGGUUCAAGCAGUUUUUCUUCCCUUUUUCCUCUCGACCUUGUAUUGCUUCUUUAUCUGUCAUUUUAUAAAUUCCGCAUGUAUCUGUUUAAUGCUCUGUAUACUGUAUUGGACGUGUAGUUGUUCUUUAUGCACUGGGUUGCUGCUGUUGUUUUUUUGAAGUGCUGUAAUUUGUGGAAUCAGUUUGUAGUUUGUGGGAGGAAUAAGGGGAUGUUUUUAGAAGUGUGUUUUCAGUGCAGGUAAUUGGUGGUAAGUAAAUCCCUUAGGGGAGGCUCUGUCGGAUUUUCCGUUGGAGGGUCUGGUAGGGUUUCCCUGGGAUCAGGGCUGUCUAGGGUUCCGGGGAAGGAAUUCUGGACGGGUCCUGACAGAAACGGUCCAAAAUUCAACCAACAAUAAAGGAGACAUGGAAAAACAGAUAAAAAUCAAAAGAUGAACCAAUUCAUCACAAUUUUCUCUUUGUUUUGUUUUCCAUAUCAAACAAUUAUUUCAAAAUUAGAAAAUCUAAUAGACCAAAGCAUACCUGCAGUAGCUGCCUUGCGAAAGGAGGGCUUCAGUUGUAUCAAAUCUUUUGCAUAGAAUUUCUCCGAUUUUAAAAUUUCUUUUAGUCGGUAAAUAAUGUCCGUGCAAUCUAAUUUAAUGGAAUAAAUAAGGUGAAAGAAUUUUUGAGUGAUGAUUGUGGAAAUAAAACUAAAAAUACAAAAUUUAUCUGUUGUUAUCUUGAUACAAAUGUAAUUCAACUUCUUUUUAUCCAAAAACCCAAUAAAAUAUUUAAAAACCUUAAAAUAAAUAAAAUAAGACCGUAUUUGUAGUGGUAGACUUGACCCAGAUCCUGAAGGAUCCACAAUAAAUCUAGCAACAUUUACUUUUUCAUGGUUGGUGCUUAAUUAUUCAUUACAUCUUGGUUCGAUUGUUGAUCUAGUCAGGGCAUGUUAUAUAACAAGAUGCGGCUACUUCUAACCAGGAAAAAAAAAAGAAAAAAAAAGAAAGUAAAAAGGUGAAAAAAAUGUUGCUACUGUUUUCUUAUAUUUUUAAAUUAUAAUUAUUAUAAAUUUUUUUUUCUUAAGAAUCCAUUUGGAUUUGAACUUACAACCUUUUUGACUUCUAUUUCUAGUUCUUUUUUCUUUUGAUUGAAUUACAUUAAUUAGAUUUCAACGCACAAACAUUUGUGACUGCGUUUUGUUGGUAACUUAUUUCUCUUUAAUAUAAAGAGAAUUGAUUUUGUACAAAUGUAUGAAAUGUAAUUAGUUUUGCAUCAUUUGCACUACUAUCAUUUUCCUCUUAAAGCUUUACCUCACUUUCACUUCUAAAUAGUUGUAAUCGAUCAAUUUGUGUCUAACACUUGUUUUUCAAAGUGGCAUUAAUCUUUCGCCUCCAUUGUUUGGAUUCACUAAUUAAGCUACAAUAUAGCUUAUACAUCUUUUCCCUGCAGAAAAAAAUUCAUCCACGUUCUAUUUUGACAUGGUCCAUAAUUUUCCACACACUCGAUAGAGAACACUAGUGCAUGUAGAAUAUGGUCAAAAGUCAGUCAAGUUUUAGAUGGUUUAAUUGAGGUAACUUUCAAUGCCUCUUUGUUGGUAGCUGAUAUUGGUUAAAUGCCCACUGAUUUAAUACAAGCGUCAAAGCGUACAAAUAGUUGGGGAAACCUUAGGAGAUGGUAGCCAGAUGUCAAAGUCCAUCUUAAACAUAGAACAUAUCUAAUUAUGUAUGGCAUAGUGAAGUAUGACAAUUUACCAUACACACCUCGUAUUAAAAAAUCAGAAAAGUUGUAUAAAAGGAUUUCCUCAUAAAAUGGUUCAGGUUCAUGCCAAAAGGAGUUUAAAAUUUCAAAAUGACCAGGUUAAGACUCAAAACAGGUUUGAAUUCUGGAUUUUGCGACCUCAUCUAUCCUUGCUGUGGACUUAUCUAUUUGCUUGUUAUACUGUACAUUCUUCAGUUUAUCGUCUACGGAUUUAACAAAAUUUAGCAAUGGUUAAUCUCCAGCUCUUAACAAAUCACUAUUUUCUUAUCACAUAAUUAAUUGGCGAAGUAAACACAAUGUCUUCAUGUUCCAUAGGAAAACUGCUACAGCCUCUAGUCCAUCUAUUGAAGUUUGAUUUUACAGCAGUUAAUAAAGAAACGCUCCUAUUCAACUUUAGUACCCUCUGAAGCCUUAAGAGAUAGAUCUACAUAUAUAUGAUUGAUAACUUCGAACUUCAUAAACACACACACACACACACACACACACACACACACACACAUAUAUAUAUACGCACACAUAUACCUAUAAUAAGUCUAUUCAUAACAACAGUCAGGAGCUCAAUUGAAUCCAAUCUCAUUUUCUAAUCUCCAUUGUUGAACAAAUCAAACAACCAACAAAUUAGUACCCGUUUUAGAAAACCUUCUUGACCUCUAAUUGAGAUUCACUGCAUAUGUAAAGAUAUAAAUUGUUCAAACAGAAUGAAGAAGCAAACAUAUGCAGAUGAAUAAACAACAUAUAAAGAUUGACUAUUAAGAGAAAAGUGAGAAGACGAGGAAAGAAAAGAAUAAAAAAUGAUAAAAGGGAGACAAAAUACAUAUGCUUACCGAAAAUUCAACCAUCAAAUCUUACUGUUUUAUGACUAACCAAAGAAAAUAAUCAGCCUGAGUCCGCAUCAUUAGCUGCAAACCAUACAUACAUAUACAUAUAUAUAUAUAUAUAUAUAUAUUACCUUGGAUUAAGAGCAACCCAAUAUACGGGCAAAUAAAUCGAACGAAAAUACUUAUUAUCUUCAGCCUCAUCAUCUAUUUUCUUUUCUUCGAAGUUGAAGA